AGAAGAGCAUGUGCCGAGUUAGUGUUCAACCUGGCCGACAGGACAGCAAAAACAGAGCACCCACUACCCGUACUCUCUGUACCAGCUGCUCUUUUGGGGUGGACCCCACUCUUCUUCAGCAAUCACACUGUCUGUGAUGAUUCUGACAGGGUCACUGUGGUUCUAGUUAAUGUCUGCUUCUUCAUCAGGCUUUCAGUUAUUACCACUGAGCGUCAUCAAAGAGGGGACAGUAGGGCUCAGUGAAAAGCAGUGCCACGUUGGAGCUGAAGAAGACACUUUGAGUCAAGUCAAUACUGGAUUUUCUGUUCUACUUUAGAGUUCUCCAAGAUUGCACAGAAGACAAAAGAUGCACGCUUCCAGGGCAAAGACCAAUAUAUAUUAGAUAUAGAGCACAUUCUCCUCUAUAUCAGCACUGUCUAGCUGUUCAGUAGGUGUAUCUGUGAUGGGACUACAAUGGAUAGAGACAAGGAUGCUCCUAUUCUCAGAGUUUAUAGGACAGUUCCUGAAAAAUAAAACACCGAAACUACCCAGCCAAAAAGUGUUUUGCCCACAAGAUUUACGUCUACUCAACAAGAGCAUGCAGUGCCUGCAGAGGGCAGAGAGGUGUAGAUGCCCACAGAUUUCAGAGAUGUUGGAUUUCUUGAAGCUGGAAUUACAGAAUUUCUCAUCAAGUUGCUCUGGACAAGCCGGAACUGCAAAACACCACAAAAUCAAUCAGAACAGUAUUCCUGCCUCCCAAUGGCCAUUCUCACCUAUGAGGCUAAGUUUCAGGUAGUUUCCUCUGCUCACCUGCUGGUGGUAGUCCCUCUGCUUGACGAACUUGUUCACCACCGUCUCCACCUGUUUGUCACAUUCUACUUGAAGAUGCUUGAUCAAGGUAUAGAGUCUGCCAGG